AAGCUCGUAGUUGAAUUUCGGGAUUGGGAUAUAUCGAUUGUGCCUUUAGGGGCAUGAAACGGUGUGUAGCCAAUUUCUCACCUUCUGGUGAUUCGGGAUGCUCUUGGGUGUUUCGAUGAAUCAGGACCUUUACUUUGAAAAAAUUAGAGUGUUUAAAGCGGGCAUUUUUGCUUGAAUACAUUAGCAUGGAAUAAUAAAAUAGGACGAUGGUUCUAUUUUGUUGGUUUAGGAUCACGUAAUGAUUAAUAGGGAUAGUUGGG
rnacentral:rRNA from 1 species